rnacentral:rRNA from 1 species
UACGAAGGGGGCCAGCGUUGCUCGGAAUCACUGGGCGUAAAGGGCGCGUAGGCGGCGUUUUUAAGUCGGGGGUGAAAGCCUGUGGCUCAACCACAGAAUGGCCUCGAUACUGGGACGCUUGAGUAUGGUAGAGGUUGGUGGAACUGCGAGUGUAGAGGUGAAAUUCGUAGAUAUUCGCAAGAACACCGGUGGCGAAGGCGGCCAACUGGACCAUUACUGACGCUGAGGCGCGAAAAGCGUGGGGAGCAAACAGG